UUUCUGGUGUUUUAUAUUUAUGUGGAACCACACUAAUCCAUCUCGAACUUAGUUGUGAAACGCAUACAAGGGAAACGAUACUUCGGGGGAAGCCCCUUGGGAAAAUAUCCCAAUGCCAGGAU
rnacentral:rRNA from 1 species